AACUAUUCAUGUGUGAUAAUCUGAGCAGCUGGUUAUAGUGGAUAGUGGCAAAAAAAAGUAAAAAUCAGUUGUGAUUAUUUAUAAUUUUAAGUUGGUUCAGGUAUUUUCUAAACCUUGGUGGAUUAAGCAAAGACUUUCAGAGUAAUUUAUCCAUCCAAGAUCCAAAACAGGGAUUCCAAAUUUAUUGUUUCAAACAGGUUCAAAAUUAUAACAUUAUGAAGAAAAAUAGUAUGAAUGAUCAAAUUGAUCAUCGCUUACCAUUAUUACCAUCGAAUUUUGUUCAAACAAUUCUCACUUGUGUUAUCUUAUACACGUGUAUAAUGGCAACUGUUGAGUUCCUGAUAAAAGUUUGGCGAAGGAUGAGAUUCAAUCAAUCGAAAACAUCAUGUUUCAAGUAUGGGUAUUCCAAUACUAAAAAGAACGGUCCCAAAUAUUGGAGAGAAUUAUUUGCGUGCUGCGACGGUGCCAACCAGAGCCCAAUCAACAUUGACACGUGUGCAGCGACUUGUGUCUAUGCAUGCAAUCCACUCACUUGGUCCAACUUCGACAACAAACCACAAAAUAUGAUUAUGCUCAACACUGGCUCUACUGUAAUGUUGGCUGGCUGUUGGUAUUGGGACAAACCGCUGUCAAUAAGUGGCGGGCCGUUGGAGCAGAGAAGCUACUCUUUGAAGGAAGUGUACUUUCGUUGGGGCCGGGGUGAAGGCAGUGAACACACCAUUGAUAGUGUUCGCUUUCCAAUGGAAAUUCAAUUGAGGUUUAUCAACCAAACAAAUGGCGAUAAUGUGUUUAUUGCUCUGUUUUGUGAGAUUUCGCAUCAGGACAAUCCGAAUCUGGUUUGUUUAGUGAAUUCAUUGAAUGAGAUCAUUCUUCCCGGAACCUCGACCGAAAUCCCUUUCUCCUUCGACUGGCUGCAAUUGCCCUUCUGCCAUGGAUACUAUACCUACCCCGGUUCAUUCACUUUUCCACCAUGCUGUGAAAAUGUCACUUGGAUUGUCAAGCCACAGCCUAUCAAAAUUUCUCAUGCGCAGAUCUAUAUAAUUAUUAUAACUGUCCAAAACAAUCGUCCAUUGAAACUGACCUUGUGUCACACUGCGUUCUUAGAUGAGCAUCAUAAGAAACGAUGACUCGCCACACGAUUGUGAAACACUACUUGGUGUAUCAUAUCAAAUAGCAUUCAUUAAAUAAAAUUAUAUCAAAAAUCAUAUUGGUGAAUGAAUGUGAUGGGAACCUAAGUCUAGCUGAUUCAAGAUGGUUGUUCUUCUGGUUAAAAAAUUCCGAGAACUAAGAAAUAACCAUGGUCGUAUUCUAACAAAUUCAAGACCAGUACAAUCCCUCAAUUCAAGAACAGUUAUGUUCUAUGAGGAUUCAUCAGAAGCCGAUUGCAAUUGAAAU
rnacentral:misc_RNA from 1 species